rnacentral:tRNA from 1 species
UCCCCUGUGGCAGAAUUGGUAGACGCACCCGACUCGCAAUCGGGAGGUUCAUUGUAACAGCAAUGACCAUGCAGGUUCGAAUCCUGUCAGGGGAACCA